AUUGAACGCUGGCGGAAUGCUUUACACAUGCAAGUCGAACGGCAGCACGGGAGCUUGCUCCUGGUGGCGAGUGGCGAACGGGUGAGUAAUGCGUCGGAACGUACCGAGUAAUGGGGGGAUAACGCAGCGAAAGCUGUGCUAAUACCGCAUACGCCCUGAGGGGGAAAGUGGGGGGAUCGCAAGACCUCACGUUAUUCGAGCGGCCGACGUCUGAUUAGCUAGUUGGUGGGGUAAAGGCCUACCAAGGCGACGAUCAGUAGCGGGUCUGAGAGGAUGAUCCGCCACACUGGAACUGAGACACGGUCCAGACUCCUACGGGAGGCAGCAGUGGGGAAUUUUGGACAAUGGGGGCAACCCUGAUCCAGCCAUUCCGCGUGAGUGAAGAAGGCCUUCGGUUGU
rnacentral:rRNA from 1 species